UACGUAGGGUGCAAGCGUUGUCCGGAAUCAUUGGGCGUAAAGCGCGUGUAGGCGGCUUGGCAAGUCGGUUGUGAAAGCCCGGGGCCCAACCCCGGAAUGGCAUCUGAAACUGCCUCGCUAGAGUCCCGGAGAGGAAGGCAGAAUUCCCGGUGUAGGGGUGAAAUGCGCAGAUAUCGGGAGGAACACCAGUAGCGAAGGCGGCUCGCUGGGCCACACCUGACGCUGAGACGCGAAAGCUAGGGGAGCGAACAGG
rnacentral:rRNA from 1 species